UGACAGAGCGAGACUCCAUCUCCAAAACAAAGCAAAACAAAAUAAACAAAAAAAAACAAAAACCCUUUGGAAUCAGGCACACCUAGGUCGCGGCUGUGACUUGAGCUCUUUGUGGCUGGGUGCACUGGAGCCAAUUAUGUAACUUCGCUGAGACUUCAUGCUGUCAUCUGUAAAGUGAGUAGAGUGGUGCCGGGAAUGUUAAAGCAGGUAAGGGACAGAUGUAACAUUUUGCGCACAGGGACUGGCUCAUGGUUGGUUCAAUAUUUUUGUCAUAAUUUCCAGUCAGCAGCAGGAGGAUAAAGAAGGGGUAAGCGGAUAAGAGGUACUGCUAUGUUUGAAAUGAGUAAUCUCUGAGGAGCUUUUUGGCUAGUUCCUGCCGCUAACCCUGGCAAAAGGCAGGUUUGGAGGGUGGUAGUGGGGAGGGAAGGUACAAAGGGUAUCUCUUCUGUAUUUGGUCACCAAAUAAUGGCUCAGCAUCUAGAACAAGGCACAGGGUUCUAGCUUCGGUACUAGAAAGAGCCAAUAAUACUCAUGACAGUAAUGAUAACAGUAAUAAUAACCAACACUUACCGGCUGUUUAACUGCUGGUAGUAAUUAAGGUAACACUAGCUAAUGUGAUAGUGAAACCCUGAAUCCUCAGAGGCUUAGCACAAUGGAAGUUUAUUUCUCAUUCAUGAAAAGUCCUGCUGGGUGUUUCGCCGGUGGCUUUCUAUGUGGUGACCCAGAGACCCAGAUCCCUUCUGUCUUGUGGUUCCAGCAUCCCCUAGGACCUUGGAAUUAUUUCCUUCUAGCUGAUGGAGCAGGAAGGAGAGAAAUAAUUUUAUGGGCCAAGCCUAACGUGGCACGCUUUCUUUCUGUCUGAAUUCUGUGGACCAGAAGUUGACCACGUGGCCGUAUCUGACUGGAAAGGAGUCUGGGAAAUGGCUUUCAGCCAUAUUCCUAAGAGAAUCGGAAAUGCUUUGUGGUGAGCACAUUGCAGCUUCUGCCACACCAUAUCCAGGCAUAUAGCUUAGCACGGGGUAUUUUAUUUGAUGCUCAUGCUAGAGACAGGCACCAUUAUUAUCCCAUUUUGCAGAUGAGGAAACUGAGGCUCAGGGAAGUGAAGACUCUGGCGCAGGGUCUGUGAGCCAAGAUUGGAGUCCAGGUGGCCAGAUGCUGAAGCUGUUAGCAUCCAGAUUUCUAAGGGGAAUUCAGUCUUUUUUUUUUUUUUUUUGGAGAAUUGGGUGGAAGUAGUGGACACAUACAACAUACACAGGGUUCAGAUGUGACUUCCUGGGACCCACAGAACCCAGCAGGACUCUGCAGGAGAACUUUGGGGAUGGAGCCAAGGGUGGGUGUCACCUGGUGCCAGGGGCUGAUAUCCUGUCCCCUUCCCCCAACCCUUAGGGCCGUGGUCAGGAGAAGGCACAGAACAAUUCAGUUCAGUCCCCCAAGGACAUCUGGGGCCCCCUCUGCUGAGCUGGGUGUGCAGGGCUGGACAUGCUGGCCCAGGGGUAUUUGUAUUUGUGGCUUCCCCCUGCUCUGAUAGGCAGGUGUGCAGCCUGUAGUGGGGAUUUUUGGAGUCUGCCUAGAGGGUAGAAGAGUGGGCAUCCCUGUGGUUUGUAGUGGCAGCUCUCUGCUGCUGGCCGGUUUAGUUUAGUUUUUUUUUUUUUUUUU
rnacentral:lncRNA from 1 species